GUAGGUGGCAAGCGUUGUCCGGAAUUAUUGGGCGUAAAGUGCGCGCAGGCGGUUCUUUAAGUCUGAUGUGAAAGCCCACGGCUCAACCGUGGAGGGUCAUUGGAAACUGGAGAACUUGAGUACAGAAGAGGAAAGCGGAAUUCCACGUGUAGCGGUGAAAUGCGUAGAGAUGUGGAGGAACACCAGUGGCGAAGGCGGCUUUCUGGUCUGUAACUGACGCUGAGGCGCGAAAGCGUGGGGAGCAAACAGGGAUUAGAUACCCUGGUAGUCCACGCCGUAAACGAUGAGUGCUAAGUGUUAGGGGGUUUCCGCCCCCUUAGUGCUGCAGCUAACGCAUUAAGCACUCCGCCUGGGGAUACGGCCGCAAGGCUG
rnacentral:rRNA from 1 species